GCCAAGCUUCUUCAAAGAAGUUUCCUUUACCUUCCAGCUUUGUGUUUUGUCCCAAUCUAUUGAAAUCUGCCUGCGCCAAAUCACUUCUUUGAAAUUGUUCACAUCAAGGUGUUGAUGCCAGUUCUGAAAUGUCUGUCUGGGAGCUGUCUGAGCAGAGGCAGACCUGAAUGUGCCAACGAUAAGCUGGAGGCCACACACCUGUGCUUAUUUCAAUCAGUGCUGUCCCUGCCUUCAAGAUGUGUCACCUUUCUGACAAAUUGAAGGCAAGACUGUCCACCUGCAAAGUUAUUAAGACUCACUUUAUUGUGAUACUCACUUCAUUGCUGGGGUCUGGAACGAAACCCACAACUCCAAAGUAUGCCGUCCACCGUGACCUUAUUUGGAAGACACUUUGAGGUGGAGAGUUCUUCAUGUCUCUUUGGAGUGUCCUUGGGCUUGCUAACACAGAGGCCCAUCCAAGGGGAGCAGUGAAGUGCCAGAUUGUAGUGGCUUUGCCAGCUUGCGUCCCUGAAUGAAGACAACAUGGCACAGAACCCUUAGCACAACCCAAGACAGGCAUGAGGGUAACAUUAUGCUGGAGAUGCUGGUUAGAACAAAUGGCAAAGUAUUGCAGAGGAAAAAAGGACUGUCAUUGUUUAUAGAAAACAUGGUUAUCGAAAGAAUCUCCAGGUAAACUAUAACAAUUAGCAGGUGAAUUUAGUAAAUUGAGCAUACAUAUAUCAACUUGCAUUUUAUAUUCCCGCAAAAAGUGAUUAGAAAAAAUUAACACUGCAUAAUGAAUAAUGUGUAAGGUCUUCCUCUAUACAGAACACUGUUUAAACAUUGAGAGAUUUUAAACAUAUUGGGAUGGAAUCCAGAUCAAAAGCAAAGCAUUCAGAGAUGCCCAUAAAACGUUAGCACUAAUUUCACGUAAGCCCCAAUAAGAAGGUCACAACCUCUUAGCUGCUCAUCAUAGGAUGGUUUUCAAAAAACUGCCAUGAAAACUUCAAUGACUUCAAAGCUUUGAUCAUUCCCAGCAAGAAAGGUUAUGGUAUGUCUUAUGAGUGUCUGGAACAUCAGAAAAACUAUGGAAGAUGAUGUUAAUAGUGAUCUUCAAACUACAGAUGACGGAGGGUGAUGAAAAUGGAGAGGGUCAGGAGAAUAAAUUAAUUCAUGCAUAUAAAGCUGCUAUGAGAUUCCAAAGACAAGCAGCAGGUCACCUGAUUUGCUUUUAUAGCUAUAGUCAAGGAUCUGUAUUAACAAUAAUUUCUGUCUUAUGAUUCAACAUUAAUGUGUACCCAAGUAUGGAUUUUUGUACACCAGAAGUCAUUUUUCAGUUCGUGUUAUACCUAGUUUUACUUAUCAGUGAAACUAAGGCCAUGUAGUAAGAAAUAUCAGGGCAAUGUUAUUUAAAGCAUGGGUAAAUUUUCUGUGCCUACUGUUAGGCUUGUGAAUUUAUUGAGCACUACUGUGUCAAUUGUUAUAGAAGAGGCUUUACAUAUUUAAUGUGUAACAUAUUAGUAUACUGUUCUUAAAAAUAAAAGAAUGAGACUCAGAGCGGAUCUGCAACUUAUUUAAGGUACCCACAUAGUUAAGAGUAAAGAGUCAGUUUUGAGCACAAGCCUACCUGACUCUAAGACAUGAGCUGUUUUCAUUAUACAAUGAUGCCUACAAACUUGAGGUAUGUGAUAAACUGUUCAGCUCAGUAUCUGAUACAUCAUUAGUCUUCAAUAAGUUUAUUAUUAUUAUUAUUAUUAUUAAAAUAUGAUUAAAUCUUAUGGGAAGUCCCUCUUUUUUUAAUGAAGUAAAACCUUAACCUCUUAUUCAAUAAAUGAUUGCUCCUUCUGGCAGCUCAUCUUAUGAAAAAGUAUAGGGUUGAGAAUACAAAACAUGGUAGAUACAGAUUUAUGUAAGCUUUAGUCUCAAGAAGUGAUGGUUAUGCUAGUAAGUUGACACUCAAAUUGGUGAGCACAUUCUGUACAGUGGGCUAUUUUUUCUCUGCUGUAUCCCUUGGUGAUAAACCCUUGCAAAAUCUGUGACACUUCAAAGAGAAAGAAGUUUUGCUCCAAAACUUUGAGGACUGGUUUAUCCCUGCAGAUUUGCUUUUAUAGCUAUAGUCAAGGAUCUGUAUUAACAAUAAUUUCUGUGUUGUGAUUCAACAUUAAUGUCAUCUGAUAAGACCUUAAUUUAUUUACUAGGUAGUAAUCCUGACAGCACCAUAAAUAAACUACUGAAUUAGUUCUUUCCUCUUGAUUGGCUUACAUUUAUGUGGUCAAUAGAUUUGCAAUAAAGGGAUCUUUUCCUGCCUUUUGAGUAGGUGACAGAUUGUGCAGAUCAAAGAUUAUUUCCUUUUCAUACUUGUAUAAACUUUAGAG